rnacentral:lncRNA from 1 species
AUAAAUCUCCACCGUUCAUUUGUUGAGGUUUCCAUUUAAAAAGUUGACAGUAAUUUUUUUUUCCUUUUUGUAGAUUGUAAAUUGAAUCGUGAAUUCGUGAUGGGCUUCAGGCUUCAGCCCAUUUGGGGUGACCGAUCCCCUAUGUGUACCGAUCCCCUAUGUGUAUGCUGGUCGCCCUGGCCGCCGGCCGCAACCGUCGUUGAACUCGUAGGCGGACCUAGCAUUCGUGCACCUCGACGGCGAGCACCUUGC